GAGCUGUUGCAACUGGUGAUAUUGGCAGAGUCUGGCCUGGAACUAAAAUGCCUGGAAAAAUGGGAAACAUAUACAGGACAGAAUAUGGACUGAAAGUGUGGAGAAUAAACACAAAGCACAACAUAAUCUAUGUAAAUGGCUCUGUACCUGGACAUAAAAAUUGCUUAGUAAAGGUCAAAGAUUCUAAACUGCCUGCAUAUAAGGAUCUCGGUAAAAAUCUACCAUUCCCUACAUAUUUUCCUGAUGGAGAUGAAGAGGAACUGCCAGAAGAUUUGUAUGAUGAAAACGUGUGUCAGCCCGGUGCGCCUUCUAUUACAUUUGCCUAACAUCUUUGGACGUGGCAGAACCUUACAUAUUCUGUGAGCUUCGAUGAGCCAGAGUGAUAUCAUAACCACCAGAAAUCAUACUCUCCUUUCUUAGUCACAACAAAAUCACACAUGUCAUCUUUGUCAAGGGCAUAAAUAUAUCAUUCAUACCCCCAUUAAAUUUUGUUAGAAAAAUUACCACAUUAAAUAUAUGAGUUAAGUAGAUUGGAUUUGCUGAAAUUGGUGUUGGGCAUAUUAGCAAAAUAUUCUUAAUUUGUGGACUCGAUUCUUUUUUACUACAUAUUUCCCAAGUUAUCUUAAGAUGUCUGUAAAUUUAACUUUUAUUAAAGUUUUGUCAAUCUU
rnacentral:lncRNA from 1 species